rnacentral:lncRNA from 1 species
GAAGAAGAAGGAGAAGAAGAAGAAGAGGAAGAAGUAGCAGAACGAGAAGAAGGAACAGGAGAAAAGGAAGAAGUUGGAGAAUAAGAAGAAGGUGAAGAAGUAGUAGAAGAAGAUGGAGCAGAAGGAGAAGUUGAAGAAGAAGAGGAAGAAGAAGAAGAAGAACAACAAGAAGAAGAAGAACGAGAAGAAGAAGAAGAAGAAGGAGAUGAAGAAGAAGAGGAAGAAGUAGCAGAACGAGAAGAA